UACGGAGGGUGCGAGCGUUGUCCGGAAUCACUGGGCGUAAAGGGCGCGUAGGCGGCUCGGUAAGUCCGCUGUGAAAGUCCAGGGCUCAACCCUGGAAAGCCGGUGGAAACUGUCGAGCUCGAGUCCGGAAGAGGCGAGUGGAAUUCCUGGUGUAGCGGUGAAAUGCGCAGAUAUCAGGAGGAACACCAAUGGCGAAGGCAGCUCGCUGGGACGGUACUGACGCUGAGACGCGAAAGCGUGGGGAGCGAACAGG
rnacentral:rRNA from 1 species